rnacentral:piRNA from 1 species
UGUGUCCUGCAUAGUUCCACCUUCUGUA